rnacentral:rRNA from 1 species
UACGUAGGGCGCAAGCGUUGUCCGGAAUUAUUGGGCGUAAAGGGCUCGUAGGCGGUUUGUCGCGUCGGGAGUGAAAACCCAGGGCUUAACUCUGGGCUUGCUUUCGAUACGGGCAGACUAGAGGUAUGCAGGGGAGAACGGAAUUCCUGGUGUAGCGGUGAAAUGCGCAGAUAUCAGGAGGAACACCGGUGGCGAAGGCGGGUCUCUGGGCCGUAACUGACGCUGAGGAGCGAAAGCGUGGGGAGCGAACAGG